UGUAAACUUUAUGUGGUUAUAUAAUUAAAACACAAACGAAGGAAUUUUAGCUGACCUGAUCAUGAAGCGAUAGCCAUUGGAGAUCAAACGGAGAAGAUGAAGGAUGCGGCAACACCAAAGUCUUCUACAAAGCACCUAGCCGGAUACAACUACUUUAUGGGAAGUGUUUGUUGUGUAUCUAGGGUUUGCAGGGACCUUAGUAUUUAUACUGGCUAAGGCAUUAAGGUUCCAUCCAUAAAGGAAUCCCAAAUCCCACUUUUUAGCCUAUCAGUUAGGUAUCAUAAUCACAUAAAAUCAAGGACUCCAUCAAUCUUACUUGUAUUACAAGACACCUAAUAUAAGAUUGAUAUCUUUAGGAAAUAAAUCACAAUAUCUACAUUAAUCUCCAAUAUUACAUUCCUAUUAUAUGUUGUAGACCAUUUAAGGUUGAUUUACAUCGGAAUAAAUCCAACAUUCUCCCACUGGUCUACACAUAUAGUAUUUAUGUUUAUACUUGAAAUUGGAGAUUAAUGUCACUUUAAUGGCCAUGUAAUUGUGAUAACAUCCUAUCCUUGAUACAAGUUUCUGUCAAAUAAGUCUUUCAACAUGGAACUAACAAGGUUGUAAGGUUGACACAACCAAAAACCUUCAUAAUCACACAUGCUAAAAUCCUCAUCCACAUGAAACACCAUCAAAUUAUGAUUGCAAAGAUGAACUUUAAUUACCUUAAUGUGUCUCAACUUUUAUCAUCUCAGGUCCUCUUUAAUGCAAACUUCUACUGCAGUUGCAAACAAAACUUCAUAAAACACAAUUAAUUCAACACCUACGAGCAAGAUGAAUUAACAUGUUUUUGACACUAGUUCAUAUACCAUAUUAGUUACUUUCGUGAGAAAAAAUUUUCAACACUUAUGAGCAAGAUGAAAAAACCCUCACAACUAAUACAACAUAUAAAUCAUGUCAUGCCAUUUUAAGUCGAACCAAAAGAAUUAAUCCACACCUACGAGCAAGAAGAUUAACCAUUCCUUUAUGACUUAAAAUGCAAUUUGCUUAACUGGAUAUCAGAUAUAUCAUCAUCUGAUAAUUGACCAACACAUAAACAUGUGACUUCAUGAAUCCAACCGGAGAUUAAACUAAAUGAAUGGAUUCAAUCAACCAUACAUACCUUAUAGGUCAUCUGCAAAUGUAAGGCAUCAAUUACAUGAAACUCAAGCUCCCACUGAUUUGCAACAUCGUCACUUAAUUUGCAAAUCACUACUUAAAUCAUACUUUUGAAAUAUGCUUGUGGGAACACCCUUACUUAGUCAAUGAAUGCAUAUCACUACAAAAUUGUCUUUCUUUAACCUUUCCUUAACACCUUAAAUAGCAUAAUCUCAAUGAAAGGUAAAACUAAGACAUUCACCGCUGUUUAUACAAAACCAUGCAUUUCACAACCAUCUAUUUGCAUUAAUAAUUCCAUAUUUGUGCUAAGUCCCCAUGAGCCUCAAAAUUCUUCUAAAGAUUAACAAAUAAUCAAUCAAGGCAUCCAAAUGAUUGCAAGUAAAAAUAUACACAUACACCAAGUACUCAUUCUGCAACUUAAACAUAUUAUUGUCAUUCGAGUCAUGGCAUAAUUCUAAUUUCAUCAACCAAAACACAUAUUCAUGGAAGAUAGAAUAACACUUUAUGCAAGUCCACUUAAUGCUCAAAACUUUAGAACAACUCCCACUAAACUUUUAGAGUUUAUACACUUAUUGCAAAUAAGUUAAUGAGUGUGAUGAUUGCAAGUAAAAAUAUACACAUACACCAAGUACUCAUUCUGCAACUUAAACAUAUUAUUGUCAUUCGAGUCAUGGCAUAAUUCUAAUUUCAUCAACCAAAACACAUAUUCAUGGAAGAUAGAAUAACACUUUAUGCAAGUCCACUUAAUGCUCAAAACUUUAGAACAACUCCCACUAAACUUUUAGAGUUUAUACACUUAUUGCAAAUAAGUUAAUGAGUGUGAAGCCCAAUUUUCUUUCACUAAUUCUCCCACUUGGGCAAACACUCAUUCAUAUAUUCUUUCAAGGAUUUACCUAAACAAAUUUGCUUCAUAUUUUAGACAUAAUUAAAUAGACAUCACAACCAACAUAAAGUUAUCAAACAGAAUUUCAGCAAUGAGUUACACUUACUUUAGAAUUUAUCAUAAUUAAUUUACAAGCUUAAUUGCUACCAAAAUUUUACAGAUCAAAAAAGACAUACUAUCAUAAAAUAAAAAUAUAGGGCCGUUUUAGGUCAAACUAAUUGUCUAAAGUGACGUCUCAAAAGACAAAAACAAUAUGCCAGCAAAACUGUCUGUACGAGCAUGGGUUACUAGUAAAUUCACCAUAAUUACACUACAUGGCAAAACUUUACGAAAAUUUGCAGACACAUAGUAGACAUAUAUAUGUUGAACAUAUCAAAAAUUCAGGUCGUUUGGUGAUCAUUAGACGUAUCAUUCACUCAAUUUAAAUCAAGACAUGCAAUCUGCCAGAAACAAUCAUGUGCAUCUAUCAUGAAUUGAUACAUCCAUAACAAUUCAAUUUCAUAUCAUUUCAAUUUUGAUGUCCAAGGGAAACUCUAGUAGUCAAAUUUCAUCAUCUAAAACGACAUCAUACUUCAAAUUGAAAAGAUUUACAAGCAUAAGACUUAAAUAAUGUGUACCUUAGCAAUCCUUGAUUAACCUUCAUGGGUCCAAUACUUUGCAUCAACAAGUCUCAUGAAUAGACACAAAAUAUGUUAUGAUGCAACCGAUUUCCAUGCCUUAAAACCACAACCUAUUAUGGGGCUCAUAGUGGGAUUUUGUAACUGAUGGCAUGGAACUUUAUCCCCAAUAAACUUCAUGAAACUAGAUUAAUUUACACCUACGGGCAAGAAAAUUAAUUAGUUUCUAGUACUGAAUUAUAUGUCACAAGAGUUACCUUCAUAAAAAACUUCAACACCUACGGGCAAGAUGAAGUUUUCACAAACUCCUGUGAAAUAAAACUCAUACUAUGCCAUCUUAAUUAAAACAAAGGAAACGAUCCACACCUACGGGCAAGAAGAUUAUCCCUUUUAUUCUAAUUAAGAUGCAACGUUGAUCAAAGUAACUUAAAACCAUAGUCCCAGCAUCAACUAAGCCGCUACGGCUUGCUUAGUUGACAAGACAUUAAUCAUCUCCAGCCUUCAUGACUCCUUUCGAUAUCCAAUUAAUCUCAAAAAACCUGACAACAUACUUGAAAGGAGAUUAAUCACAUAUAGAUCAAGUUGUAUAAGAGCUAUAAUAUCAAUCUUCCACCACAAGGAUAUCAACACGUAUGAGAAAACAUGAUGGAGCUAAUAGAUUCAAAAUGGAAACACUUUAAACAAUAUAGUCGCUUUUAAUUCAAAAGCCAAAUUGUGAUAUCACUUAAAUGCUCUCUUAAGUCAAACGAGUUCCUUUCCUUUUGUACCUUUAUUUCUGUAGUAAAAGACUCCUAAAACAUUAGCAUCAAAAUCGUGCAUUAGCCUUGUAAAUACCAAAUUAAGUAAAGGAACAACCAAAAAUUCUUUUCUUCCAAAAGAAAAAACUCCAAUACAUGCCAUACAUUAGCCUUGAAUAAUUUCUUUUCUUCUCCCCUUAUGGCACAUAAAAUUGACUUAUCAAAACAUUGUUUAAAUUCUUUAGGCAUGGGAAAAACUAAUAAACUAUAUACAAGUUUGAAGACUUAUGCUUAUCAAUUUAGUCACAUGCUCUGAAUGAAAUACAUACCUUAUGCCUUCAUAUGUUCACCACUUCUUUAUAAACAUAUUUAUAAUCACAUGACCAACCACAAUUCUCAAAUAAAUAGUUAAAAUACAAAUGAGAAUUGUCACAUAAUUACUACAAACCUUAUUCACUUGUAUUAUACCCUUAUUCUUGUCAUUGGAUGCUUUCUGUCAUUCUCAGUCAAUCCAUAAGUUAUGCAUUAGUCAUGUACAAUUAAAUGACUAUACUGAGAUAGGAAAGCAAAAUUGUAGACAAAACUAAUUUGAUUAGUCAUGCAAAUUCCGCAUGGAGUUAAUAUCAUUAUAAACCGUACUUGAAUUAAUCCCCCAUCAUGCUUAGUAUACUGCAUUACUAAUCAAACACAUUUGUGUUAGGACAACCCAAUCCCUUUAAUAAAACAUGCCAUAUGUCCAUUUUAGUUAUUACCCAUGAAAAACAGAGCAAUAGACUUACUCUUGUACUAAUGCCGAAACACCCAGACUAUUUGUACAAAAUAUAGUCUCAAACAAUAAAAUAAUUUAUGCAUUUUUACAUAUGCUUCUCCGCAUGUUUACCAUAUACAUACCAUUUAGAUACUGGUGUCAUGAUAAUUUUACACAUGCAAUGUGAACUUCUAGAUACAUAAUUGGCUUUAGAAAAUUACGUAUACUUAGCUUGAUCAAACAAUUGAUGGCACUUAUGCAAUUGCAAUUCAUGGCAAACAAUAUUAGUCCUUAUUCAAAUGGAUAACAAAUGCAAUAAAGAUUUGGAGUUUAAGAAGUAAUUCCAAAAAACCUUAUAAGGUAUGUAAUUAUAUUUUGAGGGGUGCUUAGUGUCCCCUUGUUGCCUUUCCACCCUGGAAGCAGUGACUGGAGCUGCUUGGACCAGCCAAUAGGCUCACUCAUGCAUAUUACUAACAAAAAAAACCACGAACAAGCAAGAUAUAUAUGCACUUUUAUAUGCAUGCAUCUUGGCAUAUCUUAAAAAUCUACUUUUCCCUCGUUCUGUAUGCCACUUAUAUGCAGAAUUAAUCAUGUUCAAAACAUAUAUUUUCUCUUUGUUUUGAUAACCAAGUUUAAAACUUAAUAGUCAAAACUAACCAUAUGCAUGAUCAACUAAUUAAUUCGCAAUUGACACAUAUAAUGAUCAAUAUUGUUUGCUUUGAUAGGAGACUUUACCGAGCUUGUUGACUUGAGAUGCUUCAUAGUCUUCCUUGGCAAGAUUAGUACAGAAGUACAUAUUUCUAUAUGCUUACAAAAUUGACAACAACGUUAGCCAAAAAGUUGUAUCUACCACUAAAUCAAUUCAACCAAAACAUUGGCAUGAAUAUCGAAAGAAAGCUUAAAGCAUGCCAUAUUCUUCCAGUCAUAAUUAAUUCAGUAAAGAUGAGCAAAGCAAACUGUUCCAAUCUUUCUUUAUGAGAACUGAAUACAAGAAAGGAAGCUUGAAGUGCUUGAAAACCUACCAUUCAACAAUUAUUAGUUUACCAAUUUAUGAGUGAUAUAUCUCAAAAUUCUCCAGUGCAAGGUUAGAACCGACCUCCAUCAGGAUCUCAUAUGCGAUGCAUAUAUGAACCUCCUUAUUUGGCUUUGCUGAUCAUCUCAAAUUCUCCGGUGCAUGGUUAGAACAAAAUGACUAUUUCAAUUGAACCAAAACAUUAAUAUGAACAUUGAAAUAGAAAACGUUAAGCACCAUGGUAAUUCCAAUUAUACAAUUCCAUGAAAUAAUGAACCAACUAUUUUAAUCUUCCUUUAUUAUAGUUAAUUCAAUAUCAUCAUUUAGUGCUUCAAUUAGAAAAGCCCACAUUUGGAAUUGAAGGGUGGUGGCGGUGGAAGAAAACUUGAACUCAACUGGCACCACUCGCAGAAACAGAUUAUCCAAUUAUGUAAUUGUUUAAUUUAACUGAUAAUUUCGGUCUCUAAGACCAAAUAGGAAUUUAUGUAAAACAUGUGCCGUGCAUAUCAGACUAAUAUGCCAAGUAUAUACAAUUAUAUGCGGAACCGUACUAUGCAGUUUUCAAGCAGGUCCAACAUGGUGAUGUUGCCGAAUGCAAUCACAAUUUGGAUUUAAAAAACCGCAGUCCAAAAGAAAAGAUAUUAUAUAAUCAAACUUCAAACCUAAUAGGUUUUAAUCAUAUAACCAGUGGCUCUGAUACCACAUGUAAACUUUAUGUGGUUAUAUAAUUAAAACACAAACGAAGGAAUUUUAGCUGACCUGAUCAUGAAGCGAUAGCCAUUGGAGAUCAAACGGAGAAGAUGAAGGAUGCGGCAACACCAAAGUCUUCUACAAAGCACCUAGCCGGAUACAACUACUUUAUGGGAAGUGUUUGUUGUGUAUCUAGGGUUUGCAGGGACCUUAGUAUUUAUACUGGCUAAGGCAUUAAGGUUCCAUCCAUAAAGGAAUCCCAAAUCCCACUUUUUAGCCUAUCAGUUAGGUAUCAUAAUCACAUAAAAUCAAGGACUCCAUCAAUCUUACUUGUAUUACAAGACACCUAAUAUAAGAUUGAUAUCUUUAGGAAAUAAAUCACAAUAUCUACAUUAAUCUCCAAUAUUACAUUCCUAUUAUAUGUUGUAGACCAUUUAAGGUUGAUUUACAUCGGAAUAAAUCCAACACAAUAUACUAACCCCCAGGUUUAUGAAAACAAAUAUAUAAUGAUGAACAUAGGUUUUCCGAAACCUAGCAUGAUGUGCAGUAUCUCAAAUCAUAACUCAUAUAUAAUAAUCACUAGUGAAUUGUCCGAUAACCUGCAGGCCCCAUGCCGGCUCCCCGUCUCUGAGCAGACAGUCAGAGGAAAAUACACUUCAGGCCCCAUGCCGGCUCCCCGUCCCUGUGCUAAAUAGCCAGAGGAAACACACUCCAGGCCCUAUGCCAACACCAAACCGUCGCCCGGGACGGACCGGAAUCUAUCCCUACGUCCCGUAGCGGAAAGGACCACUAGGUAAGUACAAAACCAUUGAACAUACAUAUAUUGAAAAACAACUUCAUAGUAUAAAGUCAUCCAUC
rnacentral:lncRNA from 1 species